UUGCAGUCAAGAAGAAAGAGACCCUAGAACUAGAAGUGGAUGGAAUAUACCAAGAAUCCUCCUCUGAUGGCUACAUGUACAUAGAUGCUUGUCUUACCGACAUUUCAAGUACAAAAUCUCAGUAAAGACAUGGUUAAAAUUUGUGUUUUACAAAGUGAUAUUUUAUUGAUAUGAUCAACCUGAACUCUAUAAAUGUAUGCCAGUACUCUCAGUGAAGAAGGCCCUAGGCUAUCCAACCUGAACUACAAUGUAUAUAAAUGUAUGUUAGUACUCUCAGUGAAGAAAGGGUAUCAAUGUUAGAGCUCUUCGUUUCAACAUACAGAUCAUACCUGUACGCUUUCCAAAUUGUAUAUAAUAAACCAUGAUAGUAUAAACAGUAGCAAGUAGAUAGAUAGAAGAAGAUGUGGUAUGAGUGUCGACUCUUAAUCCAAGUCACAAUAUGUAAAAGUAAAUUAUUAUAGGUCAGGCCUUCAACACAGACCCUUGGCUCACACUAAACAGCAAGUUAUAAAGGGUCCGAAAAAUGAUUUAUGCAUGUAAAACCAUUGAAACGGGGAAAUCCAACAAUCAAAUCUAUAUA